UCAUAUUUCUGCCACUCUCAGCCUUGUCCAAAUUCCCCCCUUUCUUGCUCCUCCUAUGAUUUAUGUGUUUAGUUGAUCCCAUACGCAUAAUUUCUGUAUCCCGAACUUGGAGUUAUGGCCAACCCCGAUAUAAGUUUAGUUGUGGAGAUGCCGGAAGAAAGAGCUACUGCACGUAAUCGGGAGUCUUUCCUUCAAAAGUGGAAGAAGAUAUUUGUAGCAUCAUGUUUGUUUGCUGUUCUGCUGGAUCCAUUGUUUCUCUACGUUCCUAUGAUGAAGGACGACAUCAACUGCCUGCAAUCUGACAGAAACUUGAAGACGGCCGCUCUUCUCUUAAGACCAUUCACUAAUCUUUUCUAUAUAUUUGACAUUAUUGUUCAAGUUUAUACACAUCUGACAACUUUUCGGGUUUAAUUGUUGAGUAUCGUGGCAGACAACACCCGUUAUUACCUUCUAAAGAUGCCAGAGACCCCCUGGGUUACGACGAUGUGUGGAUGGAAAAAGAAAAUUAUGGAUAUCGUCAAAGAAUCCGCCCUAAAAUAACAUUUUGGAGCAAAUCUUUGGUAGCAAUAGCUAAGACAAUGUUGGGGUCAUAUGUUAUCUUAAUUGACAUUUUGGCUAUUCUUCCGCUUCCACAAGUAGCAAUUCUCAUUUUCUUUUCAAAAAUGAGGGACUUGAGAUCUUUGAACACAAUAAGGAUGGUUAUCAUGAACCUUUUUGUUCUAUUACAAUAUGUGCCACGACUUCUUCGCAUCUACCUCUCAUGUAAGGAAUUUAA